CGCUAUCACUCCUACGGGAGGCAGGUAGUGUAGUUAAUAGCUGCAUUAUUUGACGUUAGCGACAGAAGAAGCACCGGCUAACUCCGUGCCAGCAGCCGCGGUAAUACGGAGGGUGCGAGCGUUAAUCGGAAUUACUGGGCGUAAAGCGCAUGCAGGUGGUUUGUUAAGUCAGAUGUGAAAGCCCGGGGCUCAACCUCGGAAUAGCAUUUGAAACUGGCAGACUAGAGUACUGUAGAGGGGGGUAGAAUUUCAGGUGUAGCGGUGAAAAUGCGUAGAGAUCUGAAGGAAUACCGGUGGCGAAGGCGGCCCCCUGGACAGAUACUGACACUCAGAUGCGAAAGCGUGGGGAGCAAACAGGAUUAGAUACCCUGGUAG
rnacentral:rRNA from 1 species